GUGCAUGGCGGAGUCUACCAUGCAGUCGAGCGGAUGACGGAGCUUGCUCCUGGAGUUAGCGGCGGACGGGUGAGUUGAGCCUAUGAAUCUGCCUGGUACUGGGGGACGACGACUCGAAAGGGUCGCUCCUACCGCGGACGUCCUACGGGAAAAAGGGGGGGAUCUUCGGACCUCACGCUAUCGGAGGAGCCUAGGUCGGAUUAGCUUGUAAGUGAUGUAAUGGUUCACCUAAGCAACGAUCCCUAUGUGGCCUGAAAGGAUGAUCAACCCCACUGGAACUGAGACACGGUCCAUACUCCUACGGGAGGCAGCACUGGGGAAUAUUGUACAAUGGGCGAAAGCCUGAUCCUACCAUGCCGCGUGUGUGAAGAAGGGCUUCAGAUUGUAAAGCCCUUUAAGUUGGGACGAAGGGUUGUCCUUUAAUACGCUCCAACUUUGACGUUACCAACAGAAUAAGCACCGGCUAACUCUGUGCCAGCAGCCGCGGUAAUACAGAGGGUGCAAGGGUUAAUCGGAAUUACUGGGCGUAAAGCGCGCGUAGGCGGCUUGAUAAGAUGGGUGUGAAAUCCCCGGGCUUAACCUGGGAACUGCAUCCAUAACUGUCUGGCUAUAGUACAGAACACGGUGGUGGAAUUUCCUGUGUAGCGGCGAAAUGCGUACAUAUAGUGAAGGAACACCAGUGGCGAACGCGACCACCUGCACUGAUACUGACCCUCAUGUGCGAAAGCGUCGGGAGCACACAUGAUUAGAUACCCUGGUACUCCACUCCGUAAACGAUGUCUACUACCCGUUGGAAUCCUUGAGAUUUUAGUGCUGCAGCGAACUCACUAAGUACACCGCCUGCGGAGUACGGUCUCGUUAUUAUCACACAAAUGAAUUAGACGGUUGCCCGCACUAGCGGUGGAGCAAGAGGUUUAAAUCGAAGCACUGCGUAGAGCCUCUACCUGACCUGUGACAUGCCAGAGUACUUUCCAGAUCAUGUAGUGAUGACGUUCGGGUACUCUCGACACACGUGCUGCAUCGCACUGUCGUCAGCUCGCUAGUCGUGAGAUUGUGGGCUCAAGUCCCGAUCAGCCACCUGCAACCCUGUACGUAGGUACGAUGAGUUAUAGUCGGCCACUGCUCUACACUGUCGCUGACACGGAUGCAGUGGAGCAUGACGUCAGUCAUUCUGGACCGUACGGCAGGCCUACUGCGUCUGAAUGGUCCGGUAUGAGAGACAGCUGUAGUCGACUAUUCGUAAAAGCCGAUUCUGUUCGAAGUGUGAUUGCACU
rnacentral:rRNA from 1 species